rnacentral:rRNA from 1 species
CGGAGGGUGCAAGCGUUGUCCGGAAUCAUUGGGCGUAAAGAGCGUGUAGGCGGCUCGAUCAGUCUGCUGUGAAAGCCCAGGGCUCAACCCUGGGAUGCCGGUAGAUACUGUCGAGCUAGAGUCCGGAAGAGGCGAGUGGAAUUCCUGGUGUAGCGGUGAAAUGCGCAGAUAUCAGGAGGAACACCAAUGGCGAAGGCAGCUCGCUGGGACGGUACUGACGCUGAGACGCGAAAGCGUGGGGAGCAAACAGG